rfam:Schistosoma mansoni strain Puerto Rico chromosome 1, complete genome
AUCCAGCUGACGAGUCUUAAAUAGGACGAAAUGCGCGUCCAGUGCUUCCAGAU